AUAAGUCUGAAUAAUCUCGAUAACAAAUCAAGGGGUUAAACCUCCAUCAUCCAUAGAAAAGCUUGACUAAAGCUUCAUCUCAUCCAAACAACACGAAAAGUUUAGCUACUCAUGGUUCGCAAAGCAAGAAGGGAAGAAGGAAGGAGAAUAACCCGGAAAGAAAACAUGUUCCGUCAAGAAUUCUCAAUCUUUAUCGCCGAUCUUCGCUCCUUCUCCAAUCGUUGAUGUUCUCUCACUUCAAUCGAUCUCUGAAACUCUUUCUCUCUCUCAGAACUCGAAAAUAUGUCUAGAAUGAUAGAUAUCUCGUCCAAAGGACUGCUCGGGCUUUAUAUAUGUCUACAUGAAGAAAAAGCAUAGGCUUCGAAAAAGCUCGUAAAUCUACGACAGUUUUCCAUUCACCCUAUCCAUUUUCCGAACAUGUUAUACUUAAAUCAAUUGAAUGUUGGGUACCCUUGGCAUGAAUUGCAACCUUGCCA
rnacentral:lncRNA from 1 species